rnacentral:lncRNA from 1 species
GUACGCCCUGCCUUUUUCAUGGCUAGGAUUUAGUCUUUGAAUGAGGGCCGUUCUGGACAAGAUUUUAGACAAGGGUGGUUCAUGGGGAACGCGGGCCUCACUAUACAUAUGGGAUUUGAGCUUUGAUCCCAAACAAGAAAGACCGACAGACUUUCUUAGGGUGAAAUUACCAUUUAUACCGUAGAACUUCUGGCAACCGAGGAAACCGCUUCCUCAAGAUAUCUGAAGUGACAGCUACAUGGGCAAACCUAUCUUAUUCAC